rnacentral:rRNA from 1 species
GAUGAACGCUAGCUACAGGCUUAACACAUGCAAGUCGAGGGGAAACGAUAGAGAAAGCUUGCUUUUUCUAGGCGUCGACCGGCGCACGGGUGAGUAACGCGUAUCCAACCUGCCCACCACUUGGGGAUAACCUUGCGAAAGUAAGACUAAUACCCAAUGACGUCUCUAGAAGACAUCUGAAAGAGAUUAAAGAUUUAUCGGUGAUGGAUGGGGAUGCGUCUGAUUAGCUUGUUGGCGGGGUAACGGCCCACCAAGGCGACGAUCAGUAGGGGUUCUGAGAGGAAGGCCCCCCCACAUUGGAACUGAGACACGGUCCAAACUCCUACGGGAGGCAGCAGUGAGGAAUAUUGGUCAAUGGACGAGAGUCUGAACCAGCCAAGUAGCGUGCAGGAUGACGGCCCUAUGGGUUGUAAACUGCUUUUAUAAGGGAAUAAAGUGAGUCUCGUGAGACUUUUUGCAUGUACCUUAUGAAUAAGGACCGGCUAAUUCCGUG